rnacentral:rRNA from 1 species
UACGUAGGGGGCAAGCGUUGUUCGGAAUUACUGGGCGUAAAGGGCGCGUAGGCGGCACGGCAAGUCAGGAGUGAAAGCCCUGGGCUCAACCCAGAAACUGCUUUUGAAACUGCCGAGCUAGAGUGCGGAAGGGGCAACUGGAAUUCCCAGUGUAGCGGUGAAAUGCGUAGAUAUUGGGAAGAACACCAGUAGCGAAGGCGGCUCGCUGGGCCAUUCCUGACGCUGAGACGCGAAAGCUAGGGGAGCGAACAGG